CAAAGAAGACAUUCUUAAGAAAUGGCUACAGAGCAUCAAGAACCAUGUGUACUGGUGCGCUACGUCAUCAACCACUGGACCGGAAAAAGUGGCAAAGUGGACAUCGCUGCUAAAUCACUUGCAAAAUGUUCAUGAUCAUGAAGACCCCCUUUUCCCCAAAUGUCUGCAUCCUGAACGAGCGUCGAGGGACCCCAACAAAUGGCUACAACCUGGGUCAGUUGCACUUCACAAAGCUGAGAAACUACUGCUUAACAAACGAGUCCUGAAGGAUGUAGCAAAACUCAGCCAUCAUCACCAGACGUCAUCGCUGGAGUCAUUCCAUAGUCUGAUACUGCGUUUUGCUCCAAAUAAUGUGGUUUUUCCCUUCAUGGGAAUGUUGUGCAGGUUGUAUCUUGCAUCAAUGCACCACAACGAAAAUGCUUCACGGGUGCAAGCUACGACUUCUGCAGGGCAGGCUGUUUAUAAAGUUGUCUAUCCAAAGGCGAAGAUGGGGGAAGGUGUUGUGAAGCCCGUGAAAACAGAUC